rnacentral:rRNA from 1 species
CUUGGUCAUUUAGAGGAAGUAAAAGUCGUAACAAGGUUCCACUUGUGGCUUAAAGCUCGGUAAGUUGCCUUCUUUAACCUAUGAAGCCUUGAAGCACCAAGUCUGGCAGCCAUAGCUGCUGGGCAACACUUGCCUGUUGCUGGCGUCCCAUCAGGGUACCAGCAGUCGUUUAAAAUGCGAUUCACAGAUCAAACGCAAGUGGUACUCUCAACUCUUACUAAACGAAAAUUCUCUACUGUAAGGCCACCUACGGGCAAGAGAAAGGAAUUUUCAUUUUGAAAAGAGUACAUUUUCAAAAGAGUAUUUUGAUAUGAUCGGUCCUUCUUUUAACUAAGAUGGAUUUUACGUUCCGUAGGUGAACCUGCGGAAGGAUCAUUAACGAGUUAGGGUCGUUCUGGCCCAGACUUCCAACCCUUUGCUUACUACACUAUGUUGCUUUGGCGGGUCCGCCCUUAAAAUUUAGGGCCGCCGGAGGUUUUUUGGCCUCUGGUCCGUACCCGCCAGUAGCCUUUAUUAAAUUCUUUUUUAAACUGUGUCGUCUGAGUGACAUUUUAAAAUCGUUUUAAAACUUUCAACAACGGAUCUCUUGGUUCUGGCAUCGAUGAAGAACGCAGCGAAAUGCGAUAAGUAAUGCGAAUUGCAGAAUUCAGUGAGUCAUCGAAUCUUUGAACGCAUAUUGCGCCCUUUGGUAUUCCGAAGGGCAUGCCUGUUCGAGCGUCAUUUAUCAACCAUCAAGCUUGGCUUGUUGUUGGACCCCCUUUUGGUCGGGAUUGGCUCCCGACCGGUCCGAAAGAUAAUGAACGGCUGUUUAAUGGCCUUUUGAUGCAACGAGCUUUUUGUAAAGCACGCAUNGAAUGGUGGUUAGGGCCUGUUCUCCCUUUAUUUUUCUAACGGUUGACCUCGGAUCAGGUAGGAAUACCCGCUGAACUUAAGCAUAUCAAUAAGCGGAGGA